CACAUCCCUGUCCGGCAGCCGUGCACCCACUGGACCCUGGCCCAGGAGGCAGGAGAUGCCCCGGAGAGGAUGCACCGCCGGGAUGCCCAGCCUGGGAUGGAGCUGCCCUUUGGCUCCCGGGCGCCAGCCCAGCCCUGUGCCGCAGGGAAGGGGCGUCCUCGCUGCACUGCUGGCCCCGCUGCAGGCUCCGGCCUCGGCUGUGCACCUGGGGGUUGCAGCGCCAGCGGGGCUGAGCUGGGCAUGAUGGGUCCCUCCUGCCUGCAGGGCUCCCGGCGACCUCCCUGCACCCAAACCUCUGCACGCAGCGCCGCCUCCCCGGGCACGCGCUGCAUGGGGACGUGCACACCGCAGGCUCUCUGCAAAGGGCUCGUGCCGUGCAUGCAGCGAACACCGCUCUGCAUCCCCUCCCCAGCCCCCAAACCGGCGUGGGGGCCUCUGAGCCCGGCCCCAUCCCGCAGACGUGGCCGCGCUGCCGGAGCUGGGGAGCACAGGGGCAGUUCGCAGCGGGGGCUCUCGCAGCAGCCCCAGCCCAGGCUCACCUCUCCGACGCCCAGCCAGCGGCCCCYGCUGGGCAGCACCCCAGGGGUGUCCUGCCGGGAGCCGAGCCAGAGCGGCCGGACAGCGCGGCACCCCGGCAGGGCCCACAGCCACGCACGGAGUCGCGCUGCAGCCACCCGGCGCGUCCCCGCGCACCGAGCCCGGCGCGGCUCCUCCCCUGAGCCUGGCCGCCGCCAGCCUGGCCGUUAUCCCCAGGACGCUGCGCAGACGCGGCCGGCGCUGCUGACGUCCGGCCUCGGCGUCACCGGCCGUCGGGCCCUGGGGAGCGGCCGUCGGGGCUGGGCUCACCGCUCCGCCGGGCUCCCCACGGCUGGGCCAGCAACGCCGGCACCGCGGGGCCACAUCUUGCUGGACAAGGUGCACCGCAGGGCUGAGGUGCCCUGGUGCAUCCCUGCAUCCCUGCAUACCCACCUCCCUGCAUCCCUGCAUCCCUGCCUCCCCCUAUCCCCGCAUCCCCUCAUCCCUGCAUCUCUGCAACCCCAUGUCCCUGCAUCCCUGCAUCCCCACAUCCCUGUGCCCGGGCUCAUCCCCACAUCCCUGCAUCCCUGCAGCUGUGCCCAGGCUCUGCCCCACGGCACGGGGCCGGCAGCCGCCCCGGCACAGCUCUCCACGGGGCCGGCAGGAGCAGCGGUGGCCGGCGCGUGCCCGCCGGCGGCCACCCCGUCACCCCGCGCACCCUGCCCCGGGUGCCAGNNNN
rnacentral:lncRNA from 1 species